CCUGGUUGAUCCUGCCAGUAGUUAUAUGCUCGUCUCAAAGAUUAAGCCAUGCAUGUCUCAGCAAUUAUAUUCACACGAUAUGGCUGCGAAUGGCUCAUUAUAUCAGAUAUGAUUCAUCUGAUUGUGAUCCUUCAGAUGGAUACCUGUGGAAAGUCUGGGGCUAAUACAUGCAUCAAUAUCUAGCUCAGAGGCUGGAUUGUGUUCAUUAGCUAUUCAAGCCAAUGCAGGUUGAGCCUGCUUGUUCGAUGACUCAUAAUGAUUCUUCCAAUCGCAUGGCAUGCGCCUGUGAUUCUUGAUUUAAGUUUCUGACCUAUCAGCUUCUGAUGGUAUGGUAUAUGCAUACCAUGGCAAUGACGGGUGGCGGAGAAUUAGGGUUCGGUUCCGGAGAGGGAGCCUGCGAGAUGGCUACCACAUCCAAGGAAGGCAGCAGGCGCGCAAAUUACCCACUUCUGAAACAGGGAGGCAGUGACAAGCAGUAGCGAUACUGGGCAUGCGUGUCCUGUAAUCGCAAUGAGUCUAUUCCAAAUCUCUUGAUGAGAACCAAUUGGAGGGCAAGUCUGGUGCCAGCAGCCGCGGUAAUUCCAGCUCCAAUAGCAUAUAUUAAAGUUGCUGCGGUUAAAAAGCUCGUAGUUGAGUCUCUAGCAAGGUCGACUGAUCCAUCUUCAGGGUGCGAAUUUAGCUCGGCUCAGCUUCUUUCUGGCAAGGCCUCUCUGCACAUCGGUCUGCAGAUAGCUGCGCCGGCUUUUACUUUGAGAAAAAUAAAGUUCUUCAAGCAGGCGUACGUCAUGGAUAUGUGAGCAUGGAAUAAUCAUAUAUGCCUCGGCUCAGAUUUUGUUGGUUUCCAUUGCUGAGGUAAAGGGUUGUAGGGCCAGAUGGGGGCACUCGCAUUUAACUGUCAGAGGUGAAAUUCUUGGAUUUGUUAAAGACGGCCCAGUGCGAAAGCAUUUGCCAAGAAUGUUCUCGUUGAUCAAGAACGAAAGUUAGGGGAUCGAAGAUGAUCAGAUACCAUCCUAGUCUUAACCAUAAACGAUGCCUACUAGAGAUCGGAGGUUGUUCAAUUUGCGACGCCUUCAGCAUCCUAUGAGAAAUCGAAGUCUUUGGGUUCUGGGGGGAGUAUGGUCGCAAGGCUGAAACUUAAAGGAAUUGACGGAAGGGCACCACCAGGAGUGGAGCCUGCGGCUUAAUUUGACUCAACGCGGGGAAACUUACUAGGUCCAGACACAGUAAGGAUUGACAGACUGAUAGAUCUUUCGUGAUCUUGUGGGUGGUGGUGCAUGGCCGUUCUUAGUUGGUGGAGUGAUUUGUCUGGUUAAUUCCGUUCACGAACGAGACCUCAACUCACUAAUUAGCCACGCCAAUCUUAGGAUAGGUGGGGUGCUUCUUAGAGGGACUUUGUGCUUCUAGUACAAGGAAGAUUGAGGCAAUAACAGGUCUGUGAUGCCCUUAGAUGUUCUGGGCUGCACGCGCGCGACACUGAUUCAUCCAUCGAGUUUGCGCCUUGCCCUAUAUGGUCGGGCACUCUUCUGAAACUGCAUCGUGUUGGGGAUAGAUUAUUGCAAUUAUUAAUCUUGAACGAGGAAUUCCUAGUAGGCGCGAGUCAUCAACUCGUGCUGAUUAUGUCCCUGCCCUUUGUACACACCGCCCGUCGCUCCUACCGAUUGAGUGCUCCUGUGAACAAUUUGGAUUGCGGCAGUCUCCAGUAUUGGCACCUGCUGUAGGAAGAUUUGUGAAUUGCAACACUUAGAGGAAGGAGAAGUCGUAACAAGGUUUCCGUAGGUGAACCUGCGGAAG
rnacentral:rRNA from 1 species